rnacentral:rRNA from 1 species
GGGAAUAUUGCGCAAUGGAGGAAACUCUGACGCAGUGACGCCGCGUGCAGGAAGAAGGUUUUCGGAUUGUAAACUGCUUUAGACAGGGAAGAUAAAAGACAGUACCUGUAAAAUAAGCUCCGGCUAACUACGUUCCAGCAGCCGCGGUAAUACGUAGGGAGCAAGCGUUAUCCGGAUUUAUUGGGUGUAAAGGGUGCGUAGACGGGAAUGCAAGUUGGUUGUGAAAUCCCUCGGCUUAACUGAGGAACUGCAACCAAAACUACAUUUCUUGAGUGCUGGAGAGGAAAGUGGAAUUCCUAGUGUAGCGGUGAAAUGCGUAGAUAUUAGGAGGAACACCAGUGGCGAAGGCGACUUUCUGGACAGUAACUGACGCUGAGGCACGAAAGUGCGGGGAUCGAACAG